CCUUAGGGCAGGUAUGACCGAGACCUGGUGCGGGAGUGUUGACCGGUCGGGUAAAGCCAGCCCUACCGCUCGACUCAGUUGCACCCGCAGGGAGUGUGCGUUCACUCUGACUCGGCCCAGCUCCCCCUCCCCGCCGAAGCGCGGAGGCGAAUGAGAGCUGAGUCCAGGGGAGCAGCUCCCCGACUCACGCCCGCAGCAAGCCGUGUUUAAAAUACAUUCAGCCACUAGAUGUCGCUGUGGCCCCACCGCGAGGACGCGGAAGGAGGCGCUGCGGAGCACGGGCGGCGUGACCACAGCGGUCGGGGCUAACUCUGGAAGGCCAGGUGCUCGGAGGAGGCUCCCCAACUGGGGCCGGGCAGCGUCCAAGCAGACGAGGAAACAGAUUCAGAUGGCAAAGGCAGGCCAGCCCCAAGAGCGUCUGUUGGCAGAGGUGUCAAAGGAGACGUUGGAGACAUUAUCUUGGAUCCAGGAAAUGAAGGGAUUCACAGGUGUGUAGACUCCCAGGAGGCCAGGCUCCGAGCAGGGACCCCAGAUCAUCACAUUCUGCAGCUCCCAGCUUGGGAGCAGACUAGGGGAGUCCCAUCAACCAUCUGCACGAGGGAGAGAAGGAGCAGUCUCAGCCCAGCCUGCGCCCACUGAACCACCCCCUGCCUGAUAUGACAAUAGCGCAAGUGACAAAAGACUAAACAUAACUGGACUUCAUCAAAAUUAAAAACUUUUGUGGAACAGAGGACGUUAUCAAGAAAGUGAAAAGACAACCUGAGAAAUGGAACUAAAUAUCUGUAAAUCAUGGGAAGUAAAUAUCUGUAAAUCAUCUAAUAA